rnacentral:misc_RNA from 1 species
UUGGAGCUCGGCCCCAACGCGCUCUCGUGGUCCUCGCCAGCAACCACCCGUGUUGUCGCCCUCCUCCCCGGUGAGCUGCCACGCCCUGGUCCUUGGCGGGUGCGCGGUCGUCUUCCUUGCCGGUGGCCUCAUGCGCUCUCCUCCUUCUCCCCAGCGAGCUGCUGCGCCCAGGUCCUCUGCGGGUGCGCGCUCAUCCUCCUCGCCGGCGGCCACACGCGCUCUCCUCCUCCCCGGCGAGCUACCGCGCUCGCGUCUUCGACGGCUGCGCGUCGUCCUCGCCGGCGGCCGGGCAAGCUCGUCCUCCUCCCCGGCAAUCCGCCGCGCGUGCUGCGCCUCGUCCCUGGCACGUGUGCGCUCCUCCUCGUCCCACCCCACCUCUUCUUCUACCUCCAGUUGUUUGCACGGACGGCUGCAAUAGCUUCCAAGACAGUGCGGGAGUUGGUACGCGAUAGGAUGAAGCAGAUGCAGACGGUGAGCCAUGCAGUGGUGCGAAUUGAGGACGCGGCGCGGAGCAGCGGCAAAUCGCGGUCGGUAAUACCGAAGCCUGGAGCGGUGGAGCCGGGGACUUGA